UCACACAAUUACAUAGUUUACAUUUGGUUCCAUUUGUAAACAAAAAGUACCGUAAUUUAAUACUGUUAUGUCUCCUUCUAGAUAAAAACAGCUACAUCAGACACACAAUUGCAAGUAGCUAUCGGUAGAGCAUCCUGCAUUUUAUGCCUUUCCGGGUGUUUCAGAAAAAUCACCUUGGAAAAUAAAGGAGCUGUUACCAAAGAUGUGGCACAUUGGUAUGUGUUACAGAGAACAAGAACUCCAUUUGAAAGAUUUCAAGAAGGACUGCGGAGCCUUGGAGUUCUUUCAGCAUUGCAGCAGUUUCCACAGCAGCUUCAAUCCCUAUUUAUUAAAUUGGAGAAAAAAUUAACAGCUAUUGAGGUUGAACAGCUUUUCAAGUUUCGUAUGUCAGAGGAAGGAAGCAACAGAUAUGAAGCUGAAUUACUUGUAGUGGGAUUUUGGAGAGACUAUUUGCAAGAUGCAGAAUUUUGUGUUGAUGCAGUGACACUGGAAGAAAUACUAAUUUUUGCAACAGGAAGUGAUUCAGUUCCUCCUCUUGGUUUCUUUCCUGAGCCAUCUUUGGAGUUCUUGCACUGCGAAUCAAAAUUCCCUUUGGCGAAUACCUGCGACUGCAUACUUAGGAUUCCUCUAACCAAUAAUUAUACUAACUUUAAAAACAAUAUGAAUUUUGGCAUUAGAAAUUCCCCAGGGUUUGGAAAGGCUUAAAGAUGAUGAUGUAUAUUUCAAACAUUACACAUUAAGCAAUAAAAAAAAACUUUUGUGGUAUUUGUACAUAUUUCAACAUCAGAAUGUUUUAUUUGCGAAAAGAACAAA